GACGAACGCUGGCGGCGCGCUUAACACAUGCAAGUCGAGCGAGAACCAAGCCUUCGGGCUUGGGGACAGCGGCGAACGGGUGAGUAACACGUGAGUAAUCUACCCUCGGUACCGGGAUAGCCCGGGGAAACUCGGACUAAUACCGGAUAGCCCAUUUAUCCUUCGGGAGUGGAUGGGAAAGAUUGCUUCGGCCUUCGAACGGGGACGAGCUCGCGGCGGAUUGGCUUGUUGGCGGGGUAACGGCCAACCACGGCGACGAUCCGUAGCGGGUCUAAGAGGACGAUCAGCCACACUGGGACUGGGCAACGGCCCAGACUCCUACGGGAGGCAGCAGUGGGGAACCUUGCGCAAUGGGCGAAAGCCUGACGCAGCGACGCCGCGUGAGGGAAGAAGGCCUUCGGGUUGUAAACCUCUUUCAGGAGGGACGAAGCUCCUCGGGUGAAUAGCCCAGAGAGUGACGGUACCUCCAGAAGAAGCCCCGGCUAACUACGUGCCAGCAGCCGCCGUAAGAC
rnacentral:rRNA from 1 species